UUCUUACUUUGAAAAAUAUUGAACAAUGUGUUUAGCUUUUCUACAAUAUAAGCAUAAGCCUUCUUACCAUUGUGAAGUCUUUUUUUACUCUGUGAGAGGUUGAAAACGUAUCGUAUCAAUUUGCAUUGGUCUUGACCUUGAUGAAUAAGUUUUUAAAAACUUGGGAGCUGCUAUCAUUAUUUGAUUUGUUCUUUUUCAGCCAAGUCUUUGUUCUUGACGUCUUUCAAAUAAUCAAUUAUUGUAUGCAAUGGCUUGAGAAAUAAAUUUUUCUAAAGAUUUUACCUUUGGUGUUAUCAAUAUAAAAUUUGUGACAUUAUUCUUCAACCCAUAUUGAAAUUAAUUGAUAAGGAUUUUGUCAUUCUAAUCUAUAUUUCAAGCAAGGUUUUGGAAUUUAGCAAAAUACAUAGUUACUAAUAGUGAUCCUUAUUGUAAAGAUAAGAGCUUAGUCUCUACUAUUUUUUCUUGAUGACUUUCUUUAAAUGUAGUUG
rnacentral:lncRNA from 1 species